AUUGAACGCUGGCGGCAGGCCUAACACAUGCAAGUCGAGCGGGGUUUUCGGACCUAGCGGCGGACGGGUGAGUAAUGCGUAGGAAGCUGCCCGAUAGAGGGGGAUACCAGUUGGAAACGACUGUUAAUACCGCAUAGUGUCUACGGACCAAAGUGUGGGACCUUCGGGCCACAUGCUAUCGGAUGCGCCUACGUGGGAUUAGCUAGUUGGUGAGGUAAUGGCUCACCAAGGCGACGAUCUCUAGCUGGUUUGAGAGGAUGAUCAGCCACACUGGAACUGAGACACGGUCCAGACUCCUACGGGAGGCAGCAGUGGGGAAUAUUGGACAAGGGGCGCAAGCCUGAUCCAGCCAUGCCGCGUGUGUGAAGAAGGCCUUCGGGUUGUAAAGCACUUUCAGCGAGGAGGAAGGGGUGUGUGUUAAUAGUACACACCUUUGACGUUACUCGCAGAAGAAGCACCGGCUAACUCUGUGCCAGCCGCCGCGGUAAAAC
rnacentral:rRNA from 1 species